CGUAGAAAAACUUGCCUUGUAAGUCAAGGCAUGUGUCCUACAAAGUCAACACAUAUUGGAGGUCCUAUAGAACGUCGCCAUGUAGCCCCUAGUUAGAUAGUAUAUAUAGAGACAAGAGUGAAGGCUUCUUCACUCUUGUCAACUCUUUUCUUGCUCCUAGUCCAGGUUCAAGAGUCUUUAGUUUCUUGUCUUGUGGCAAUACCAUUCCAGUUUCCUUUUAAUAUACAUACUUGUUUAUAUUUUGACUUAUUAUAUCGAGAUAGCC
rnacentral:lncRNA from 1 species